rnacentral:rRNA from 1 species
CCAGACUCCUACGGGAGGCAGCAGUGGGGGAUAUUGCACAAUGGGGGGAACCCUGAUGCAGCGGCGCCGCGUGGGUGAAGGAGCACCUCGGUGCGUAAAGCCCUAUCGGCAGGGAAGAAAAGCGAACAGGUUCGCCUGGACGGUACCUGACUAAGAAGCCCCGGCUAACUACCUGCCAGCAGCCGCGGUAAUACGGAGGGGGCCAGCGUUAUCCGGGUUCACUGGGUGUAAAGGGAGCGUAGACGGCCAUGCAAGCCGGGAGGGAAAGGCCGGGGCCCAACCCCGGGACUGCUCUGGGAACUGUGCGGCUGGAGUGCGGGAGGGGGAGGCGGAAUUCCUGGUGUAGCGGUGAAAUGCGUAGAGAUCAGGAGGAACGCCGGCGGCGAAGGCGGCCUGCUGGACCGCGACUGACGGUGAGGCUCGAAAGCGUGGGGAGCGAACAGG